AAGGUUAAGCCUCACGGUUCAUUAGUACCGGUUAGCUCAACGCAUCGCUGCGCUUACACACCCGGCCUAUCAACGUCGUCGUCUUCAACGUUCCUUCAGGACCCUUAAAGGGUCAGGGAGAACUCAUCUCGGGGCAAGUUUCGUGCUUAGAUGCUUUCAGCACUUAUCUCUUCCGCAUUUAGCUACCGGGCAGUGCCAUUGGCAUGACAACCCGAACACCAGUGAUGCGUCCACUCCGGUCCUCUCGUACUAGGAGCAGCCCCCCUCAGUUCUCCAGCGCCCACGGCAGAUAGGGACCGAACUGUCUCACGACGUUCUAAACCCAGCUCGCGUACCACUUUAAAUGGCGAACAGCCAUACCCUUGGGACCUACUUCAGCCCCAGGAUGUGAUGAGCCGACAUCGAGGUGCCAAACACCGCCGUCGAUAUGAACUCUUGGGCGGUAUCAGCCUGUUAUCCCCGGAGUACCUUUUAUCCGUUGAGCGAUGGCCCUUCCAUUCAGAACCACCGGAUCACUAUGACCUGCUUUCGCACCUGCUCGCGCCGUCACGCUCGCAGUCAAGCUGGCUUAUGCCAUUGCACUAACCUCCUGAUGUCCGACCAGGAUUAGCCAACCUUCGUGCUCCUCCGUUACUCUUUAGGAGGAGACCGCCCCAGUCAAACUACCCACCAGACACUGUCCGCAACCCGGAUCACGGGUCCACGUUAGAACAUCAAACAUUAAAGGGUGGUAUUUCAAGGUCGGCUCCAUGCAGACUGGCGUCCACACUUCAAAGCCUCCCACCUAUCCUACACAUCAAGGCUCAAUGUUCAGUGUCAAGCUAUAGUAAAGGUUCACGGGGUCUUUCCGUCUUGCCGCGGGUACACUGCAUCUUCACAGCGAGUUCAAUUUCACUGAGUCUCGGGUGGAGACAGCCUGGCCAUCAUUACGCCAUUCGUGCAGGUCGGAACUUACCCGACAAGGAAUUUCGCUACCUUAGGACCGUUAUAGUUACGGCCGCCGUUUACCGGGGCUUCGAUCAAGAGCUUCGCUUGCGCUGACCCCAUCAAUUAACCUUCCGGCACCGGGCAGGCGUCACACCGUAUACGUCCACUUUCGUGUUUGCACAGUGCUGUGUUUUUAAUAAACAGUUGCAGCCAGCUGGUAUCUUCGACUGAUUUCAGCUCCACGAGCAAGUCGCUUCACCUACAUAUCAGCGUGCCUUCUCCCGAAGUUACGGCACCAUUUUGCCUAGUUCCUUCACCCGAGUUCUCUCAAGCGCCUUGGUAUUCUCUACCUGACCACCUGUGUCGGUUUGGGGUACGAUUUGAUGUUACCUGAUGCUUAGAGGCUUUUCCUGGAAGCAGGGCAUUUGUUGCUUCAGCACCGUAGUGCCUCGUCAUCACGCCUCAGCCUUGAUUUUCCGGAUUUGCCUGGAAAACCAGCCUACAUGCUUAAACCGGGACAACCGUCGCCCGGCCAACAUAGCCUUCUCCGUCCCCCUUCGCAGUAACACCAAGUACAGGAAUAUUAACCUGUUUCCCAUCGACUACGCCUUUCGGCCUCGCCUUAGGGGUCGACUCACCCUGCCCCGAUUAACGUUGGACAGGAACCCUUGGUCUUCCGGCGAGCGGGCUUUUCACCCGCUUUAUCGUUACUUAUGUCAGCAUUCGCACUUCUGAUACCUCCAGCAUACCUCACAGUACACCUUCACAGGCUUACAGAACGCUCCCCUACCCAACAACACAUAGUGUCGCUGCCGCAGCUUCGGUGCAUGGUUUAGCCCCGUUACAUCUUCCGCGCAGGCCGACUCGACCAGUGAGCUAUUACGCUUUCUUUAAAUGAUGGCUGCUUCUAAGCCAACAUCCUGGCUGUCUGGGCCUUCCCACAUCGUUUCCCACUUAACCAUGACUUUGGGACCUUAGCUGGCGGUCUGGGUUGUUUCCCUCUUCACGACGGACGUUAGCACCCGCCGUGUGUCUCCCGUGAUAACAUUCUCCGGUAUUCGCAGUUUGCAUCGGGUUGGUAAGUCGGGAUGACCCCCUUGCCGAAACAGUGCUCUACCCCCGGAGAUGAAUUCACGAGGCGCUACCUAAAUAGCUUUCGGGGAGAACCAGCUAUCUCCCGGUUUGAUUGGCCUUUCACCCCCAGCCACAAGUCAUCCGCUAAUUUUUCAACAUUAGUCGGUUCGGUCCUCCAGUUAGUGUUACCCAACCUUCAACCUGCCCAUGGCUAGAUCACCGGGUUUCGGGUCUAUACCCUGCAACUUAACGCCCAGUUAAGACUCGGUUUCCCUUCGGCUCCCCUAUUCGGUUAACCUUGCUACAGAAUAUAAGUCGCUGACCCAUUAUACAAAAGGUACGCAGUCACACGCCUAAGCGUGCUCCCACUGCUUGUACGUACACGGUUUCAGGUUCUUUUUCACUCCCCUCGCCGGGGUUCUUUUCGCCUUUCCCUCACGGUACUGGUUCACUAUCGGUCAGUCAGGAGUAUUUAGCCUUGGAGGAUGGUCCCCCCAUAUUCAGACAGGAUACCACGUGUCCCGCCCUACUCAUCGAGCUCACAAUAUGUGCAUUUUUGUGUACGGGGCUGUCACCCUGUAUCGCACGCCUUUCCAGACGCUUCCACUAACACACACACUGAUUCAGGCUCUGGGCUGCUCCCCGUUCGCUCGCCGCUACUGGGGGAAUCUCGGUUGAUUUCUUUUCCUCGGGGUACUUAGAUGUUUCAGUUCCCCCGGUUCGCCUCAUUAACCUAUGGAUUCAGUUAAUGAUAGUGUGACGAAUCACACUGGGUUUCCCCAUUCGGAAAUCGCCGGUUAUAACGGUUCAUAUCACCUUACCGACGCUUAUCGCAGAUUAGCACGUCCUUCAUCGCCUCUGACUGCCAGGGCAUCCACCGUGUACGCUUAGUCGCUUAA
rnacentral:rRNA from 1 species